CACGGUGGCUCUAAAUAGUCACCCAAACCUUGAUACAAUCUGGAGCAAGAGAGGCAUUUUUAUUGCAUCAGAUGCGACUAAGAAGAGGUGUCUAACUCUUGAGAAGUUGAUAAACUCUCCCAAAAUACAGGGGGCUCUGGGAGCUGGCGCUGAUGAAAUAGGCAAUGCUAUGGUCAAGGCGAUUGUAGUUGGUGGUAUCGGGAACACAAAGAGUUAUGGUUUAAAAUGGCGAAAAGGCUCAUAGCAUAUGCAAUUUCCAAAGGAAUAAUUUAAGAAUAUAUUCUUCUUGGGUGCAUGGAUCUGAAUGCACUUACUAGACAACUAUUGGACUUGAGUUGCAACGAGAGUGCCACCACCUGGCUUCCAAAAUCACCUGGUCCAGUCAUUGGGCAGCAUGCCAAGAGAGGCCUUUAAAAUACAGCCAAGGGUUAGGGUUUUAGCAGGGACAACCCAAUGCUGGAGAUAUGGCGCGAUCUAUGCCGGGAAUGCUUUUCUUUGCUUCCUGGAUCAGGGCGUGGAAGCGAAUGUGAUUGAGAGUAAAAUGGGCGACGUCAUCCGGGCAUAGCAGAAAAAGAAAAGUCCGAACUUAUGGAUGUCGCCAGCAUUCCUAUUUAAGUUCAUAUAACGUUCGCUAGCUUACUUUCACAUUGAAUUUGAGCCCAGAUGAUGAGAUUUCUUAGGAGAUUUUCUUGGCUUUCCGAGGAAGAAACUUUCUAGCAUCGACAAAAACAGAGAAAUGCCAGCUGAGGCAAAUGCCGUAAAACACUACGACUCGAUGUAAAAACAUCCACUACUCGCUCGAUCAAAAUCCCUGAUCCUGGGUCCUUGACUGUCCCAGUGAAGACAGAACCAAGCUCUACCUCCCAGUGGGAACGACAGAGCUACGAGAAUGCCUGUGCGUUUAUCUAUGAGCAAAUGCCACUCUUCUAUACUCUUUGAAUUUUCCAUUAACAAGUAGCCAUGAAAACUAGGGCUUUUGUGGCGCUCCCAGAGCAGGGAGUUCUUCUCUACUACAAGUUCGUCACGCUGCCGGAUCCCGAAGCGACCAGGGACUGGUUCGAGCGAUCGUGUUCUUCGCUGGCGCUGCUGGGGAGGAUACGGAUUGCGCCCGGGGCGUCAAUGUCACGGUAUGUGAGUGGCAUUCUCUGGAAAUUCUUUGUGUUCUCACGGAUUCUUGCUAGGUCGGAGGCAGCAUGGAAUCGCUGAGGGAGCACAUCGAUGCUGUUGCGAGGCAGGAGCUGUUCCAGGGAUGCGAUUUCAAGCUCGCUGCGUGCUCCCGGCCUAUGGAUCGCGAUGCCGCUGCGAGCUGUGGUUUUGAUUCCUUGUCCGUUCGUCUGGUUGAGGUAAUUCUUUUCUCGCAAGUUCUUGCUCGAGCAAAGCUUUUUUCGUUUUUUCGGCUUUUUAGGAAAUCGCGUGACGCUUGGUGUAUUCCCUUCUCCAUCGCUUGCAAAUGCUGGGAAGCAUCUAUCGCCAGAGCAGUUCCAUGGAAUGCUCGACCAAGCAGGUUUUGGUUGUUUUCUUUCCAACUUACAAGAUUUUCAUUCGUGCAGGGAGCUUGAAACAAAGCAACGCUGCCCCCCAAGAUACGCCAGUACAGUGACUUGCCUGCUUGGAUAGACGAGCGCGCGGAGCAAUUGCGCAACAAAUCAGUACUGAUGUAUUUCUUUCUAAGUCGUUUCUUUCAUUCAUUGUGUUAUAUGCUUUUGCAUUUGUUGCAGGUAUUUCACUGGAGGUGUCCGGUGCGAGAUGGCUUCUGCUUACAUUCGUAGCAAAGGAGAGGAAUUCGAGAACGUCUACCAGGUUGUUUGGUUUUCUCCUGUUUGUACGGUGGAUUCUAACCUCGUGCUACGCAGCUUUCUGGUGGCAUUCAGCGGUAUCUGGAGGCAUUUCCUGAAGGAGGAUACUUCCAUGGGAAGAACUUUGUUUUCGAUCAUAGGUAGUGCAUGCAUCACUCUUACUCGGAAGCUGAUAAGCUUUGGCUGGCAGGAUAUCAGUUCCAUCGCUACAAGAUAAAACUGUUGGCUGCUGCUAUAGUUGCAAAUCUCCCUACGAUGACUAUACUCCACGGCUCCGUUGCUCCAUGUGUCGUAUGCUGGUACUUCUAUGCGAAAGUUGCAAGGUAAUUCGUAUAUGAUCUUUGUCUUCUCUUUACCUUGCAUUGUGCUUUCAGGCGUCAGUGCCUUAUCUCUGCGAGCUGUGCGCUGCUAAUCAGCAUUCUAGUGAACCAGUAGAAUCAGGACGUGAUAAAUGUGAGUGCUUGUCAAAUUUUGAUAGCAGACAUAUGACCCACCGUGAACAGGCUCGAAGUUAAGGAUACUGUGCUUGCACGGCUUUCGUCAAAACGCAUCAAACUUGAAGGGCAGGCUCGCAUCGCUGUCGAAGAAACUCAGACGUACAGCCGAGUUCGUCUUCAUAGAUGCUCCUCACGAGCUUCCGCUGCUCUAUCAACUUCUCGAGGACGAAACGAGGCAAGAACCUACAGCCCAGCCGCACAAGAAAUUCGCGUGGUUAACCGAUCCGGAUGGUCCGAAGGCUAGCACACAAACGUGGACUCCAGUACAGAAGUCUUUCAAUCCCAUGCAGUACCAAAAGCAAACGUCGGGUUGGAGCGAGAGCUGGGAGUACCUGGGACAAGUAUUGGCUGAUCGCGGGCCAUUCGAUGGCGUUCUCGGGUUCUGGCAGGGAGCGGCCGUGGCUGCCAUACUUUCUUCACUCAAGGAUGCUGGACUGAUCGACAUCAAGUUCGUCGUGCUGUGCUCGGGGUUCGUUUCGCCGGUGCUAGAGCAACAGGUGUUGGGAGGAUUGAUCGACUGCCCUUCGCUGCACAUUUUCAGUGGGAAAACUGGCUAUGACCGGCAAAUCUCUUGCACGGAAAGCGAGAGAUUGGCUGGGAAGUUCAGGCCUGACUCUCGAAUGGUAGUUCGUCAUGACUCGGGGCAUAUAGUUCCCACUCGACCGGACUACCUCGAACAGUACUCCGAGUUUUUCAAGCAGUUUCUAUGACUUGUCUUUAAAGUUCGGACGAGGAUUGUGACGAACGCCUGCCCGCGCCCCGCAAGUUGGUCGAGCUAGAGAUUUUUGGAGCGAUCGUAUGGAUUGCGUACGGCCAGCCCUGUCUCUCCAAUCGUGCCUGAAGCAGGCGAAGAUGAUCGCACAGAUGAUGCUAACAAAUCUACAUCGAUCCAUAAAUUUCAGUGUGUCUUAUAGUUGGCAUCUUAAUGUUUGACACAGUAAAUACUGGUAAAUAUGAAUUAAUAAUUGCUUAAAAGAUUUUAAAAUUUGUGAGGUCCAAGCACGAAAAGGCCUUGGAAUUGGAACUGAGUCCCUCUAGCACUAGCUUUGUAUUAAUCCAUUUUAUGGCAAAAUAUGCCUCUCCACAAGACUAUUCAAUCCAAUGUCUGAGAUUUAAGACUAAAUUGUUUGAGGGUUUGAGCCAUAAAAAAGGAAAUGCUCCAUAAAUUUGAAGUCACUGUGGUCGACCGUUCCCCGCCAAAAGUAUGCACGUCCAUGUCUGCAUGCUUGUGAAGCAAACCUACGAGAACAAUUUCGGCAUCGAAGUUGAGACCGAGUACUAUGUGGAUCGACUGUCUAUAAAGGAUCAGAUUGUGAGGGACAACAGCAACGAUAAUGACCCUUUGACGACGCACCAGACGAGAACACUGUGUCAUACACUGGCAACAAUGGCGGCGGUGUCAGCUCUUUCUACCACACCGCUGCUCUGGUGGUGUGGCCCAAGGAUUGCAGAAUGGAGGCGCUAUGCUACAACAGUGAAAGUGUACUGAAGUGGCUCGAGGAGCAGCACAAAUGCGAGCCUGGCCGGACGAAUGGGGAUUUGGAGCGAUACUUGACAAGUAAAGUGGGGUACAAGACGCAUUUUGAAAUUCUGCCAGAUUUUUGCGUCAAGCACGACUGUCACGACGCAGCCUGCUUGGUCAUGAAGAAGUGGGGGAUGACGCAUGGCAACAGCAGCACAGGGUAUGGUUUCCGUACACUUGGUUCCUUUCCCGCUAGCAGCUUGGUCCAAGUAGCUAAAAAGUGGGGAGAGAGCAGCUUUCCUCACAUGGAAGAGUUUUGGGAGAAGACAUUGAAUUGAAGAAGCUUUGUGGGAGAGACAAGCAGAGAAGCCCUACCCCGACAAAAGAUAUGGGCCCUAUGGAAAAUAUUAUUAAGUCAACUUUGCACAGCGAAAGGAAGGAAAAGCUGGCUAAGCUCCAGCACGAAGGAAGGAGAAGUUUUCUGGGAAGGGUGUUGUGACGCUCGAAUCGGAUGUCACUGCAAUGGCUUUGGGAAGGAAGAGAUUCAUCAACGAUGUUGACCUGAAGAAAUCUAUGGCAGUGAGAUUAACAGUGCUGAUGCGCUUGUGCUGCUCUUGUGAGGAAACUGGAAGAUUAAUUGGGGGCUCUUGGUUAAAAUGAAAGAAGCAGCCGGGCUGUUUGGCUUGAAGAAGGAUGAAAAGGUGACGCAGCUCUUCUCGGAACUUUUGUCACGAGCACUGAAAUAUAGUAGUCACAACAAGAAACUGGCUGAAGUUGCAAUUUGGCUGGGCAAUGAGGAAAUGGUGAAAGUUGUAGUAAAGUAUGCGAGAAGUGGUAAUUUUAACGAUGAAAAAGACGAUAGCAGCUUGAUUGAGAGUGCCAAGACAUGGGACGAUGUUGCUAGAGACGGGUUGAAGAAGGUGAUCAAUGCUAAAAUUUGCUACUUUUUGGGCAAUGGAGAUGAAGAGGUGAGUUGCAGCGACAGGAGCGAUGAUGAAGUAGAUGAAGAAGACGAGGAGAAAGAAGAAGGAAACAAACGAUGCAAACUAAACCCGAGGGCUGAGCGUGUCGAAUAUGAGCAGAAAAGGAUAGAAAACUAGGGUGCCACGAUCUGGAGACUGCGUAAGCUCUUGAACAAUUUUGCUUGAUCCUUCAAACAGCAUAUAAUAUUGCAGCACUUGCAAUAAGAUUCUCAAAGGCUGAAGUGUCGUUAAGUAAAACUCCAUUGAGGAAUUGCGCAACGACACAUCUGCGCAUCGGAUCUCGGCCUCCGGCCAAGUGAAGAAGAGUUUUGCUUGCAGAAAGAAGCCAUCUGCUGUUCAAACGCACUGAGCUCGUCAUCCCAUCUCGGUAGGCACAAUAUCAAAAGCCGGAGCACAACUCUCUAGUGUCGUUUGUAAAUAGGACUCGGUUGCCGUCACUUUCGAUUUCUGGAAGUGCUUGCAUUAUAUAGAGAAAUCCCACGAGAUCCAUACUGUGAAUCUGUGAAGCUUACAUAAUGUAUUGGCAAGUAAAAUUGCAAGUGAUCAUAAGCACACUAUAUGACGAAACCGUGCUAGCGAUCAACGUAAGCAUCUGGACUGUAGAUGCAGCCUGGAAGGGACUGUUUCAGAAUCUAAGCAUCUGGCUAGAUUGUUGAAGUUUUGGAUUAUGUUAUCGACUUGGAAACUUGUAGGGAGCCAGCCUGUGUCUAAGGCUGGAUUUGUUGCUCCUCUUGGUCCUGCUCAACUGCCAUGGGCUCCUGUUCUGAUAAGAAAACUGCAUUACUAACCUCGUGUUGGUAUGUUUCAGAUGAUCUAGUUGCAUGCUUGACAUACUUCAACAACGCCUUGGCGCCUUAGUUGCACCUUUUCUUUUGAGAGCAUGCAAAGAACAUCUUCAAGCUGUCAUGACUAUAGUUGAUUAUGGAUUCUCGAGAGUUGAUUCUUUCUGUUCUUUCAAUACUGUGAGAAUCAGAUAAACACAUAACCAUUAUAGUUGACUCUGGAUUCUUGAGAGUUGAUUCUUUUUGUUCUUUUAAAACUGUGAGAAUUGCGAUUGACUUUGUUGUUGUAAAAAGAAAAUCCGUAUAAAUAAAAUGACUUUUAUGUAUAAAACAUAGCAUUAUUUAACUGCAAUGCAACAAAAAGGAAGUGGAAAGCUAUCUCGCUUCUUUGCUUGCAGCCAGCUCAGCAAGUCUUUUGAAAAAAAACUAACUUUGCGAAGAAGUGAUGGUGAUUUCGAUUUUUCUGGACACGAAUACCUUCGGAUUUCGAAUUCAGUGUUAAAAAAACACAGGCAUAGAAUAUUUUACAAAUAUCCAAUUCUUAUGCCCCACAUGGGGCAUCAUGCCCAUAGCAAUGACCCAUGCUAUGUAUGGAAUGGAGCCAUUCAUGGCCAAUAAGCCCAUGCAUUCUAGCAAGUUGUUAAUGUUGCAAACCAAAUGGACAAUCAACCAAAUUCCAUACCAUAUUACCUUAUCUAGGGCAUUAUGUUUUCACAUCUUGCUUUUGGCAUUCAUGGCAAAAGAAUUGAAUUAUCCUUUUUUGGCACACCUCUUUUAACAUAGUGUUCAUAAUAAAUGUAAGUGAACUUUAUUUAGCUCCAUUGCAAAGCCAUGGAUAUAUAUUGUCUGGAGUAAUGUCUCUAAUACAUUUUAUUGAGUUUAUCCUUCGUUACCAUUGAUUUCCAGUAUAGUUCUCUCAACAUAUUAGUUUUGUACCAUGAUGCUUAGAAGAUUUGCAUAUGACUCAAAAGUAGGUUGAAGUCUAACCAAUUCGAUGAAUUGGUGGGGCUCAUACUUCAAUUGUGUACUACGCAAAGGUGCAUAGUGUUGAUGUUUAGACUUGGAAUUCUCUCAAGAAGAGCAUGUAGAAGGAGAUUUGAGAAUGUGGAAGUUGCAAUUGCAUGCAAUAACAUUCAGGAUAACAAUAGACACUUUCAACAUUUUCCAAUUAUAAUUGUUUCAAAUUGAAUCUGGAGUUCUCUCAAGAGGAGCUUGCUGAAGGAGAUUUGAGAAUAUAGAAGUUGCAAUUGCAUGCAGUAACAUUCAGGUGAGAAGAGCAAUAACAAUAGACACUUUCAACAUUUUCCAAUCAUAACUAUUUCAAAUUUUAAAAUUUGUAAAAAGGGUUUCCAAGUAUGGGGCAAAAUUAUCCAAUGUAUACUGUAUGCUGUGGCUGAAGAACUAGAGUUUUCAGGGAUUGGAAGCUCAUGCUCACUUUGGUAAGAGUAGAUUUGUGAUGGUUUCCUAUAUGCUCUAACCCUUUUGCAAUGUUUGAGGUUUUUGGGUUUCCUCAUGGCAUGGCAAAUUGGAGAGGAUUUUAUGACUUCUUUGAGGCACAACAAUGGAUCCAACAAGGGACAAAAUUGAGGAUUCUAUAUGAUGUUUCCUCCUUUCAAGGCUCAACAAUCCCUCUGACAAGGCAACCCAAAACUACUUCUAAUGUUGUGUUAAUCACCGAGGGGAAAAGUCCCGCUAAAGAAAGUGAUAGUAAGGGAUAUAUUACUGCUCAAGAUGCAAGCGAGGACAAGUUCACAGACCUAGAGGGUGAUUUUAGUUCUACUAUGAAACAGGUUGAGAGUUCCUCAACCGAGGAUGGGCAUCAUAUAGCACCCAAGCUCGAUAGUUUUGACCCAGAUCUUAAAUUGGGAGCUGCUUUGGAAGCUAUAAUGAUUACCCUUGGUGAGGCAAGCAUAAGCCAAAAGGUACCAAGGGCCGCAAGUGCUUAUAAUGGGCAUUCGUGGAAUAUUUUGAAUAUUCUUACUUUUAACUUCACCAAUGAACUAAAAAGAGUCUCUUUCAAAGUGUGAAACAUAUUUCAAGACAAUUAUCUAUUUUUAUUGUGAAAGUGUCUAGAUUGUGGUACUUCCAUAACAUCAGCCCAAUCCAUACAAGCUCUCUAGAUUUUGGAGUGCUUGGUGGAUCUUGUGUUUGGUCCACUCUAUUGAUAGGUAUGUUAAAGGGAAGAAAACUUCUCGUGUGCUUGGGAAAUUGAGUAGAUGAUGUAUCUUAUCUCUCAACUUGGAUCCAAAUAGGCUCUCUUGGUUGGAACUCUGGAGAAUCAACCACAAAGUGAUGGAACUUGGAUAACUCUUUCGGGCUCAUAUCUAUAAAAUGUUCAAAUAUACAAGAGUUUUAGUUGUUUGUGAAAGUAAAUAGUUACCUCGAAUGAUGUUCACAAUCCAGCUGUAGAAUUUCUCUCCAAAAUCCUGGUCAAAGAUCAAGCAGUUGAUGAACUCUGCAGAAGGAAUGGUCGUCCUUACCCAGAAGACCUAUAACAAAGCAUCUGUCCUAAUGAGUGAAAGCCUACCUAGCAAUGCUAGACUCUUGUAAGGCUUUUGAUGAGCUUCCAUGCGCAUUGCGUGUUGGAAGCCAUCUUGGAGUAAGUCUCCCACUAUAUUUGGCUUGAUGAAUAGGUAACGCCAGACCAUUGCAACCACACAUGCCUUCACAGCUUGCUCAUAACCUUCACCAAGUUCAGUGAGUCUAGACUCAAGCACUGCAUUGUAAUUGGUAAUUGCAGGGUUCUCUAGAAUGGAAUCCACAGACUUGCACCAAUUGCCCUCCUCCUUUAAGCUUGAUGCACCUUGCAAAUGGUUGAGUGCAUUCCAAAUAUGUAGUGCGCAUGCCUUGAAGUCCAUCUCAUAUAGUCCUCUUCAGGCAAGUCGUCGGUCAUUCUCAUCUGGAACCUCUCCAGUUGCAAUUGCCAAUGUUGCAAUUGUACACCCGCGAAAUACUUGUGUGUUACAUUCGAACGCUUGGAAUAACAACCAACCCAUAAAGACAGCAUGUGCAUAUAGAAAUAAGGAGCAUAUAAAACUUGUGCUAUAAAAUUAACUUACCACAUCCUACUCUUCUUGUCGCAACGUCCUAGAAUGCACUGGCAUCUUGGGAUGCCAAUACAUAGCUCUUCCCUAAGCACAAAUAGUCCAUGCGUUUGUAACAUAAAGUUACUCUAGUGAGCCAAAUGAAAAUUAGAUUUACCGAUUUUGGAAUCUAGUGAAUAGCCUCUCUAAUGGCUUUUGCAUGUGGCCCACCCACAUCUAUUGUGGCUUCCUCUCAUACCAAAGCUCCUCCAAUCUCAGACGCAUAGACCACUUUGUAAUUCAGUGUGUGUAGAUUAGUAUUGAAGGUGAAUUGGAAACAACUGAAUUCAUUGUUUGGUGCAAUCUGGAAGGAUAAGUGAGGGAACUCCAAUUCAUAGGCAAUCCAUUACUUACCAGAAUGGAGACGGCCUCAAAUAUGUAUGAGUAAGUCUGCAUGGCCGAAGCAUGGCCUUCUUGAUGCAAAAACAGGAGAACUUACAAUACAGUGUUUCAGUAGUGUCAAAUAGUUCUCUCAAUUGUUGUGCAACUGAAAAUAAUAAGAUGGUACUAAGUGCUAAGAAAUAGAUACACAUACCUCUUCUCAAUAAACCAUGUUAUUGUGGACCCAACAAUUGAAGGAGGCACAUUAAUGUUUCUUUCAACAAGGAGUUGUUGGAUUGUGUUGUUAUAGAACACACCCUUGUACUGUGCUUCUAAAAGGCCAAGCUGAAGGAGAACACUCUCCCAAUCCUACCAAUGAGGCAUAGUUUGGUUGAAAAGCACGUGCUAAAGAAAUAUUUCACCACCAACCCAAUAGAACUCAGGGUAUUUAGCAACAACAUCUAGCAUCUCCUUGUCACUUGUGUUCUCCACGCUAAAGCAACCAAGAAGCUUAUGUUUCAGCCACUGCACAUGUGAGAGAACUUUAGCAUCCCCUGUGCCCUCACCUCAAGGGCUAUGGUGGCAUCCUGUAAGGCAGAAACUUCCUCAUGUUGCAACACGAUGAAGUUGGCACUAUCCUAAGUGGUUAAUUGAACAGCUUCAUUAAAUGCAUUGGUGGCAUUAGUCCAUUGUUGUUGAUGCUCCAACAAUCUACAUGCAAACGUUAGUUAAAUUUCGAAUGCCACAAUUUUCAAUUAUCUUACUCUACUGUAGAAAAGUUGUCAAGCAACUCCAUAAGAGUAAGCGGACUGGAGCUACUUCCCUCUAGAAAGGGGGGUGGAGGCACACCAUGGUUUUCAAGGCCUGCGCUGUCACUAUCAUACACUAUUAUUGGCCUAUCUGCACUCAGAAAUUAGAAAAUGAAGGAAAUAUUUAUUUAUGUUAAUACUUUUUACCAGCCACAUGGCUUGGAGCCACUAUUUCUGGUGACAAGGAUGUCUCCAGAGAUCCUUGGUGCGGUUCAUCCUCACCAUCACCUUGUUCUUUGACUUCAGUAAUGUUCAUGUUGUCUUGUGUGGGGAGAGUUUCUUCCGGUAAUGGAAGAAUGUCCUCUUCAUCUGCAGAGUAUUCUUCUUCAUUAUUCUUAUCUUGGUUUAGUUUUUGCGUGGUUGGCCUCGAGAGAAAUGGCUCUAUCACUAAGAGAUCAUCAUUUGCAAUCAAGGUAUUUAUAGCAGCUACAACUGCAAAGACCACAAUAUAUAUUUGUGAGGAGGGAACUUAAAAAAAAUAAUGACUUAAAUUUAUGAACAUCCUUCUCCUUGAGUGCUCGGGCUUGUUUUUGAUAACUUAGCCAAUGUUUGUCACUAAAAUACUCCAUAACAUUGUAUAGGUAUAUUAUUGUUGCCUAGUUGCCAUUGGCCUUGUUUGCUAUAGCUCCCCAUGAUGUUUGAGGAGGCCAGUAGCAAGGCCGGAUAGAGCUGAGGCCAAAUUUUGCAGACUCGGCAUGGGCCUCACCACCAUUGGAUUGCCUUGCACGUUGGACAAAUGCUCCUGGGUUGGUCAUAGAUGAAGGUUGGAUUCCUGAGGCUUGGAGUGAUAGUAAAAUCACAUGUUGGGCCAUAUCGGGCUGGAAAGGAAUACUGGAGUAUAAGCCACCCCAUAUGAGACACUCUAGGAAGUCCAUUGUCAACUCGUCAAGUUUCGUCACUUUCACAAAUGGCUCUCUUUUCCACCCAUACAAGUGUACAUGCCAAGUCUUUGGGAUUGCAAUCCACUUGGUGACAAGAACUGUGGUGAACGGUCGGGGGACCAAGGGUGUCGUAGACGACAUCCCACCAAUGACUUUGGAUCGACUGCCACAACGUCCAUGACGACAAGAUAAAGACUGCCGAUUGUUAUUAGCAUAAGUGUGCAUUGCAGCCACAAGUGGUGAGAGAGUCUAGCAUAGUGAAACUGUCGCGAAUGUGACUUCAAGUAUCGAAAGUUACUUGCCAGCCAGUCCUUAAGGACACUCUUACCUUACUACCACGAUGGCAGGAGGUCAGUAUUGCCGGUUCCCUUUAUUAGCCCUUUUUGUUCAAGUGUUAGUAAACUGGACUUUGCAUCUGUACUUAGCCGGAUGAGCAUAAGGAAGGAAUUCCUAAGUGUCUAUUUAGCUGAGCAUACUUGGCCUAGCUUGUUAGUUCUCUUUUGCUCUGUCUUGCACUGGCUUGACAAGAACCCUUGCGUAUUGAGAUUAAUCCCUCAAUAUCACUACAUGAUAGCUUACCGUGUCUGCCAAACACCCUCGCUAUCAUGCCCUUUGUGUUAGUCUCAAUUCGGUCCCAAAUGCUAUUUAUGGAAAGUGUCCAGAUUUGCUCAUUUGGCAUAUCUACGGAAUGUAGAGAUUGUCUUGAACACAACAGUGUUCGUCCCAUGUCCAAAUUUGCAAUCUAGGGACAUUCCAUAUUUAGUAAGUUUCGAGCUUGUCCUAGAGACUAACUCCUGAUACUAAGGGAGGCUUGGGGUGAAAGCCCAAAGCAUGUGUUCCUCAAGGGGGGGGGGGCUAUGGGGGUUUCAAAUGUAUAAUAGAGAUAGUGGGUAGGUUGAGUAUGGCCGACCAACCUAAGGCAUAGUUUAGCUCCCGUUUGCGUGCCUGUCUUUGUUCUACGUUUAGCUUAGGUUUAAGCCCAAGUUCCAUUCCAUGCUAGCUGGUGGAGUACCCAUAUCCUCGCGUUAGGCCACUGGUAUGCCGAAAUAGCGCCAGACUCCAUUUGGCUUCGUUUUAUGUGCUGGUCCUAGCAUUGGGAUGCUGGUUGCUCCAGGACUGUUCCAAGUCGCUCCGGGCUUCUGUCCCUUCCCUCCUUGGGCUGUAUGCUUGAGAGUUGCUCUGUGGUCCGGUUCCAUCACUCCUUGGCUCCAUGCUUGGGAGUUUGGCAUCGUUCCUUCAUUUAGUGGCCCAAGGCUUUGAACCUCGGGUUCCACACCACGUUCCUUUGGACACGUGGCAUGUGACAUGUGGCAUUUGUCAUGUGGCACAAAGAGGGUUUAGGUUCUGCUUCGUGGUAUUAUUCUAUGGUAAAUCACCAUAGGAUAAAGGGUCAAAACCACAUGUGCUACAUGAGUCAAACAAAUUCAAAGAAAAAAAAAGUUGAAGAAUGCAUGGGUCAUAUUAUACCUAUGGCUCACAUGGCAGCUUGCCUUGAGGGUCAGCUUGAACAUAUCUGGAUGUUGAAGCUCCACUAGAUGAUGAUGUCGAUCCUUGGGAGUAGUUGUGGAAUGCUGAUCGGGAACUAUAAACUUGCUGGUGUGGCGCAAUUGUCAACUCACCCUACGCAGAAAAACACAUGGAAAAAAGAUGGGUACAAAUGAAAAACUUACUAAGCUAGACCACUUGUUACUUCGGGAGGUAGAUGGCUAGGUAUUGGCACUUGUACCAGUGGAUGGAGUUGCAUAAGUUGUAGCGGUUGGUGGAGUUAUGGGGCUGGUAGUAGUGGCACUAUAUGGGCUUCUGUGAGUACGUCUUGUAGUUGGUGUUGGUGGCAAUGUUCCAGAUUGGACAACAUUGUGGGCAUAAGGCAUUCGGACUUGCUCAUUUUGGAUGUUUGGGCUGUUGCUUUCCAAGGAAGGCGAGGAGAACGAAACAUGCUAGAGGUUCCGCAUAUAUUGUAGUGUAUGCAAUGUUAGGCAGUGCUCUGCUUGCUCAAAUGUAGUUGGGAGUUGUGGAUGGGAUGCUAUUGGAGUUGAUGUCCCUACUGCAGAGCUUGGAAAAUCAAGUGGCUCACAUGUGUCUCGCGAGACUGUUGGCUAUAUCAAUUGCGGAACAUCGAGUGCUUGGCUACAUGCUCGUGAGGUGUUUCCUACAUAGUGUCUACUGUUGUUGAGGCAUGUGGCAUUCUUGCUUUGAGCCUAGAAACCACAAGGGAUUGGUUAUGCAAACUUGAUCAAGGAGAAGCUACCCACCAUCGCAGCUAUGGCACUCUUGCUUGGGCGGUGGUCCUGCAAUCGAAGGAGUGUGCACUAGAAGCCCUGCCUCCGGUUAGAUGACGCGAAUCGAUUAGAAAAAAUGAAUGAAUCAUCGACAAAAAUUAUGUCAUAAAAUGAAAUCGCCUCAUAUCCAAGACACAAUUAAUAUGGGUGGGACUUGGUGUAAACCCUAAUCCUGAACGUGGGAACCCUAAAAUUGAAGAAAUCAAGAAUUGAAUUUAAAUUUGAAAUGUACUCUAAAGAAUACUCAGUUUUCUCUGAGUAUGGCUAAGCAUAAUUUUUCCAAAGCUUGUCGCUUCACUAGUGUUGCUGUAGGCAAGGCACUCUCAAUGUAAAGUGGUAGAUCUACACCUGCAACAUCAACCAUUGCACAUUCCAUUUCUAAAUCCAAAUGAAGUAGAUAUUGUUUGUCCAAGUUGAGUCCCUCCCGAUGUAUAAAAAAUACUUGGUUUCGAACAGUGCCAAGAGCCUGUAAGGUAGUUAAGCACAACGAAAUAAAUUUAAAGAAAUUGUUCUAUUCUUGCUCUAAAGAUUACCUUUGACAGAGUUGCACCUUCGACAUUGGAGAGAAAUGGUCUAGGAAGGUUUUCAAUAUCUUUUCCACAACACCGGCAUAAUCUUACAAAUGCACAAUUUAUAAAGAAUUCUAUAACAUUACCAAAAUUCUUACCCAAGCUCUUGUUCCAUCAGUUGAAAUAAGUUUGCAAGAACAUGAGAUAGUCUGAAGUAAUCAUCACAUCAAUAUAGACGGACUUCAUGGAGGUUCUAGGUUGCAACCCAGUGUGAAAUGUCCUUCUUGAGGUAUGGAGCAAAGACACAACAUAGACUUUGGUUGUGCCAUGGAUUAGAUACAUCAAGAAUUCUUAUGUCUUCCAAAAACCACACCAUGUGCUCAAAGAGCUCUCUUCACAAAUGCUCUAUGCAUUGCAAAACAAAUUUGAUUUAGUCUUUAUUUGGAAAAACUCUAACACUAUGAGUACUUGGUUACAUGUUGAUGUCUCAUGUAUGAAGCUCCUAGCUGUAGAACCUUAAUAGCGGACCAUGUCCUUCUCAACUUCAUUGUGCUCUGGAGCAUUGUUGCUCUGGAUCCGCUUGGGCCUUCCAAAUUGAUAAACAAUCUGUGCAUAUGUGUUGAAUAUUGCAUGGGAUUCUUUGGAGGUAGCUAGCUCACAAACUACAAUAUAAUAAGUUGCACCGCAAAUAAUGGCAUAUAUAUAGAAACCAUAGCUUACAAACUCGCAAUAUGCUACAAUAAACAUGUUACCACAUAUGUUGAAAUGAAAGAAUAUUCACAAUCUAUAUGGCAAACAGCAUAAGCCUCUUCGUUCUUAUAAAUCUGUCGUCAAAUCCUUGUCAUGUGCCUCUGUUCUAGCAUAGUUGGAUCGUGAGUGGCUAAGGCGUCACAAAUUUGGCGUCAGCUAAACCAAUAUCCUCCACUUCGACAGGUAGAUUGGGAAUUGAUAAUUCCCCCAGUUUGUGCCACCUCGAGUCAUAGCAUUGUUAGUUCAAACAUGAUGAAGUACCUCUUCGGGUGGUACUUUAUAAUAUACACCUCUCCAAUUUGGAUUGACAAGCCGCAUAUAUUUGUACAGUGUUGGCUUGGAAAUUCUAAGAUAGCAUGCGAGGUAAGCAAUAGUCUUAGUCUUGAGGAUCUUCAGGUGCAUCCAUGUGCCAAAUGUGGUUGGACUACCAAAUCCCCUCAAUCACAAAAAAUUAUGGAAAGCCUAAAAACGUGCAAAUCAUGACUCUAGGAGGCUAGAAACUAAACAAACCUCUAGGAGAGCAUUAUUGACACUAUCCACACCAGAACCACAGUCCGAAUCACUAAAAUUGGAUGGAAGGCCAUCCACCUCGUCUUCCAGUAAACCUAGAAGAAAAAGUUUCAGUGACACAAAUUUGAAGUAAACUAGGGAGAGAACUAUACUCAUGGUAAGAACUUGAAAGAGCAAUCAAGUAGUAAAUCAAAGCCACUUCCAACAUUGCCCAUAAAAACAUUUGAAACCAAUCACUAGCAAAACAAGUUACUUUCCGCAUUUGCUACCAAGAAACAUGCCAAAUAACAAAGCACUAAAGCAAGGCGCUAAGGCAAGGAAGCACCUCCUAAACCCUAUGACCUAAUGAAUCCCUAUGUCAUGGGGUCAAACUUGAUGAUAUGUGGCAUCUAUGUAUAGCACAUUGUUCAUAUUAUGGGGACAUCAUCGACCCAUCAGGCUAGCAUCCAUGGGGUAUCCAUGAGGCAUCCAAAUGACAGUUAAUGCUGAACCAAUAGAAAAUUGCCACAUGGACACUAUAUUGUGAGUGAAAUCUACCACAGUAACACUCACCCUUUUAUGAAUUGCACACCAUACAAACAAUGUUAUUCACAACUUCUAGCAUUUGUGCUCUGCUGCAAGGGAAUGGUAUGGGAAAGAAUGUGUCCUUUUGGUACUAAAAUGCCAUGAUUUAUUGCAAAUGUGUUGGUGAUAAAGCCAACGUUAGUUGGGUGUCUUUUAAGUUGCAAGAAGGUGUGAAACACAAAAUCCCUAGGCCCCAAAGUGGAGCCGGAAGGGUGCCAUGUGGUGGUGGCCGAAGCGAAAACCAAAUGAGCGUAACACGUUUGGUCUAAAAAGCUCCGACUUGAAAAGGUCGAGAGUGGGAGUGGAACUCCUAACGAAGUGCUUGAGGAACGAGCACAAAGCGAGCAAUAAGCGAGGCUCCAAAAAAGGGACCCAGAAAGAACCAACACAUGACACGCAGAAGUGUCCGAGAUGGACCCGAGAUGGAGUCCGAGAUGGAGCCCGAGAUGGAGCCCGAGAUGGAGUCUGAGAUGGAGUCCGAGAUGGAGCCCGAGAUGGAACCGAGACCGAGACCGAGACCGAGGCCGAGACCGAGGUUGAGUCCGAAACCGGAACCGAGACUGAGUUCGAGUUUGGGUUUGAGCCCGAGUCUGAGUCCGAAUACUAAUACAGGCAGUUGAGUGAAAGCCCAAAGCGAUCGUUCCACAGGGGGGGGGGGGGGGGGGGGGGGCCCCCCUGGGGUUCCAAAAGUAUAGUAGGGAGAGUGGGGGUUGGAGCCCAAUGGAGUCAGUUUGGCUAGAAAGGGCCAGUUUGGCCCAGGAAAGGCUAGUUUGGCCCAGGAAGGCCAUACCCAGUGUUGGGUGAUGAACUGACCACUAGGAAGUCCAAGACUAGAGUGAAUACGGACCGACAAGCGGGGUAGCUUGGUGAAGUGUUCAAAAGUUGGCUCUAGUUCCUCCGGGAGAUCAACUGACCGAUGCUCCCAGUCCAAGUGUGGGUGGCACUACCUACUUGGAUACCUGGUGUGGCUCAACGGAACCUCGCUCUAAGCCUCUGGCUAGAGCACCCAAAGGCAGAAGGCGGGAAGAGUACCCAUGAGGCCCGCGUAGGGCCAUGGUGGUGAGGAAGUCCUAGAGGACCGUGGGACUUAGUGGUUGGGCCUAUGGGCCUCGAUCCAGUGGCAGUGUUGGUGAACACGGCCAUGGGCAGAAAGGGACUUGGUGAAGACUGGAAAAGGGAUAUUGGGGAAGGUUAUUCCCCAUGUCUGUGAGCAUCCUAAGGAUGCUAAGGAGUGGAUCUGGAAUGAUCACUCUUGGACGGAUGGCCCAGUCCUUGAGAGAUGGGACUGUGAUGUAGGUGGUGUUAGACUUCCGGUGUGACCAAGGUAAAGGGGCAUGGCCUUAGCAUAAUGGGCUGAUAUGUCAGUGGUACCUUGGGGUGUCGGUCAUGGGAUUGGACACGUGGAGCACUUGGAUCAAGUGCAAAGGUUGAGUGGCGGGGAUGCCAUUCUCGGGGCUAGCAAGCCCAAGUCUGAAAUAGGACUUAUGGAGGUUGUGAGUGAGACUCCUCCAAGUGGUUGGAGGUGUGGUUAAGUGACUAAAGUAGAAUGGAAAAUUUAGUCGUUUACAGAAGGCAAUGCUAUGUAUUAUGAAAUCAGAAAGACAGUUGGUGGUGUCAACUUGGUGUUUGAUUUGGUGACAUAAAAAAUUUGCAGUGCUAGCUAUUGUACGCCUUUUGAGUUAGUCAUGCCUAAAUGCCGACUCUUGAGUAGCACAACAGCCUCAAAUUUGAAUUCUCUACAUUCAUCCUUUUGUCCCUUCUUGUGUGACAUUCUAAUGUUUUGCAUCAAGUUCUAAAAGACCUAAAUGUAGCGGAAGACACUGGUGGAAAAUAAAUAAAUCAUUUAAAAAGAAUCAAGCAUCAUCUUCAAGCUGGCCACUUCAGUCACACUUCAGUUGCUUAGUUGGGGGCCAUUUGGGCACUUUGAAAUCCAGGUUUGGAAGGGAAUCCAGGUCCACUAGGGACUCAAACUUGAAAGCUUCUGAGGUGUCCAUAGUAUGGAUGGCAAUGGCAUCAGUAGUGAGCGAAUCAUAACAAAUCUCCCCAAUAUAUAGCUUGUCCCCCUUCAGUACCGAAAGCUCUUGAGACGUCCAGAGUGGCAUCGGCAUUGAGCAGUAUGUGGGCUGUCCACAGCUGGAUGAAGCUCUUGAGAAGUCCAGAGUAUUCAGCAAAUCUCCUGAGUAUGCGGCCGGUCCACUGCUAGAUGCUCCUUCAGUACCGAAAGCUCCUAAGAGGUCCAGAGUAGGGAGGGGGAUGGCAUCAGCAUUGAGCAAAUCUCCCCAAUAUGCUGCCUGUCCACUACUGGAUGCUCUUUCAGUACCAAUUGCCCCAUGUGCCAGAUUCAAGCCAAGACUAGUUACUAUAUCCCACCGAUCUUCACCUUGGUAGGCGCUUGGAACAGCACCAUUGCUUGAUGCUCCCUGGGCUCAAGCUAGACAAUCAGUCUCCUCUGCCCCUCUUGGAAUCCACUUUGUUGCUGCCGCCUGGAAAAAGAACAUGGGGAGCAUUCCUUCUUUCGCCCCUGCCCCUACCCCUACCCCUCCUAGAAUCCACUCAGCUACUGCUACCGCUGCCGCCCCUUCCAAUCCCACCGAUCCCACUACAUCUAGUCCCCAUAGUGGAAUUCCAAAAGCCAAUGGAAUUCCCAUUGCAAUGACGGGAGUGGGGGAGAGUAGCGGAGAGCCAAGUACCUGCAUUGCAGCUCUCGCCUAGUCCGCUAGUGCCGUAAAGGAGAUUAUCAAAGAGCCAGGUACCACUUGUGCUGGGGACUCUACCACCUAGUCCAUUGGCGCCAUAAGGGAGAGUAUCGGAGAGCCUGGUACUGCUCGUGCCGCCUGGUCUGCUGGCACCAUGAGGGAGAGGGUCAGAGAGCUGUGCACCUACAUAGCAGCUCGCGCCACCUGGUCCGCUGGUGUCAUGAGGGAGAGGGUCAGAGAGUUGGGCACCUACAUAGCAGCUCGUGCCGCCUGGUCUGUUGGCAUGGUGAGAGAGAGCGUCAGAGAGCCGGGCACCUACAUAGCAGCUCGAAUCGCCUAGUUCGUUGGCACCGCGAGGGAGAGUAUUAGACAAUUGGGCACUUGCAUAACAGCUCUGUCCGUUGGCACCGCUUGUGCCGGACUCACUAGCUGCACCCCUCCAGUUUGGAAUCCUCGAUUCAUAGCACCCCUUAGACCUAGACACUCUGGGCAAUGCACAAGGCGAUGCGCCAUACUCCCCAGGCAAUUUGCAGCUUGCGCUCGGGUGCCAGCCUGGAAUGCUGGACUCAUAGCUUGCCCUAGAGCAGCUUGUGCCUCCAUUGUGCCUCUAUUGCUCUUUGUGGGACAAGCAAAUCUCCCUAGAGUAUGAGCUCCUGUGUUUUUCUCACCAUGGCUUAACCUAAUAAAAAAUGUGUUGUGAAGUUACAUUUAUCCCAUAGUAUAUUCUAAAGAAUAUUUUUCCUUUGUGGUUUACCUUGCUCUACUCCUUGUAGACAUUGAAUAUCAAGUAUAAAAACUACCAAUGGCACAGAAUCCUCAUUUAGAAAAUCCACAAAUGCUAGAACAACAAGCUCGUAAAAAAUAUGAUAAGAGAGCGAAGAAGGAAGAAGAGCUUAAGAAAAGGCAUUAACAUCAGUCAUAAAACUCUUCAGUCGAUCAACAACAUCAAAAUCAUAUAUCUGAAACUUCAAAACCCACCAAACAAUACAAUCAAUCAAGUUCUUCCGCUUCAAUAAUGAAGUAAUAGCAGCAUAAUCACUUUCAAAUAACGUCCGAGAACCAUGUAGAUAUCCAUGAAGUUUCUCAAAACCCCAAACUGCUGCUAAACACUCUUUCUCUGUUGUGGAGUAGUUCACCUCCACUAGUUGUAAUGUACGGUUUAUAUAUGCAAUGGGAUGGCACUGACCAGGCACACUCACCUUCAAGACCAAUAACAAAAGCAUCAAUGCGCAAAAUAAAAGGUCAAGUGUAGUCAAGAUAUACCAAAACUAGAGGAGUCGUCAAUAGCUCUUUGAGAUCCACGAAUGCCCACUCACAAUCCGGAAACUAGAUGAAAGAUGACAUUGAUGACUUCAGCAGCACUCGCAAUGAUGUAGUGUGAUUAGAAAGGUGAUCCACAAAAUGGCCGAGAUACUGCACCUUGACUAGGAAGUGUUGCAUAUCAUUUACACACUUCAGAAUAGGGAACUUUAGAAUAGUUACAAGUUUAUUAAAAUCAACUUGUAAACCCUCACAGGAAAUAUGGUACCCAAGAUAAAUUGUGUCCUUAGACCCAAACACGCACUUCGACUGCUUUAGCUUUAAACCAACAUCUCGUGGCCGAUCCAACACUUUACAAACAUCACAAAUGUGCUCUUUCCACAUCCCCUCUGAAUGGAUUAAGACAUCAUCAAUGAAAUCAAUAAUCACCUUUGGCAUAUCGCAAAGAAUUUCGUCUAUCAUCCACUGGAAAGUUGCUAAAGCAUUGUUCAAACCAAACGGCAUCACCAAGAACUAGUACAAACCAAAUAGUGUAUAAAAAGUAGUCUUAGGAAUAUUUUCUUUGGCUAUCGGUACUUGCCAAUACCCAAAAGCAAGAUUUAGAUUGGUGAACUAAUGAUUUCGCCCCAGACGAUUGAAGAGAUCAACAAUAUGAAGAAGAGGGUACACAUAUGGGAUUAUCACUUUGUUUAACAAACGAUAAUCGAUGCAAAAAUGAAUACUCCCAUCAAGCUUCAUCACAAGAUGAAGUUCACACGCCCAAGGACUUCACAACUUUCGAAUAACACCCUUCUCCAACAUUUCCUUGAUAUUUGCACGUAAAAUUUUGAUCUCUUUGGGUGACCAACGACAAACAGAAACCUUGAUUGGACAAGCAUCCCUGUUUGGAACCGAAUGACAUGUGGCAAUCUUGGCCCUAAACGAUAGAUCAAUUUCAAAGAGAUCAAAAUACUCCUUCAUGAGCCGGUCAACUGCUGCAACACAAAUAUUGUCGAAGGGAUCGAAAAAGGGAAGAGCAGAACAAGAUGGAAACAUAGGAGGAAGUAGUGAGGGGACAAAAGUAAUAGAAACAGAGGUAAAAGCAAAGGGACAAAGAGGUACGGAAGUGAGAGGAAUGGAUGAAAUAUAUAAAGAAGUAUGAGAUAAGGGGGAGAAGCCUCAAAGUCACAUUUGGCAUGAUUACACUACAACUAAUCUAUACCAAAGAUGAAGUCAAAAGCCCUACUCAGCACCACCCACAAUGAUUGUAACCCAAGCUGAAAAUUGCCCACACGCACAACUAAGUUUGCCUCAUCCCAUGUACAUGUAUAUGUAUGGCCGUUGCUAUAAAAAUGAAAACUGGCUCCACCACACGACACAAGUGUAGAAAACAACAUGUGGCAAAAAAUUGAGCAAUAGAAAAUAAACUCAAACAUAUAUCAACCAAUACAGACAAAAUAAUAGGAGACCACUUGUUAUAAAAACAAGCUUGGAAAGUAAACACUGGAUGAAUUGGUGCCGAGUGAACCCCUUGAUGAUACUCCCGAAAAAAAGAUGGAAGGGUCAUUGACUUAUUCAUGCAAAGUCCCUCUAUUACUCGUGUGACUCUUUGUUUCCUAAAUGCAUCUCGAUGUCCAGAUCUUCCACUGCAACAGCACCAACAGGACGUUGUUGAUGCCAAAGUCUCCACCUAGGAAAUGAUGGCCGCCAAUCUGGAAAAUGCAGAUAACACUGAUAAAUAUGACCAACUUCAUCACAUGCCCAGCAAUGAACAUCACAGCCAUGACCACGGCCUCGCCUUUGUCCUUGGACUUGAGCAGCAACAGCAUCAACCUCCAUUGGAAUAGGACCAUCACUCAUAGGAAGUGGAGCUGAAAGACAUGCAACGAGAAGUGGAAGAGGUGACGUCUCAUAACGUUGUGCCAAGCGAAGAGCAUCGUCAAAGGUGGCAAGAGCAAUUGCAUGCAUAAGUCCGACAAGAUCUUGAUGAAGUGUUGGCCACAACAUUCUUAGCUCAAGCCACUCUGAUAUAUUUGGCUCCGCACGAAGCAAGAAGUUUCGGAAACGAAUGCCAAAUUGCAUCACCGACUCAAAUGACCCUUGACGAAGACGAUGCAAUUGUUAGAAGGCAUCAUCACAAUCAUUGGCAUGUCCAAAUGUAGGUUUGAAGACGUCUGAGAGAACACUCCAAUCCCCACGAGUGGCUAUGCUCAAACCAUUAUACCAAUGCAAUGCUGUCCUUUGGAGACACGUGGGAAACUUACACAAACAUCAAGCAUCAUCCCAAGAAUGAUAUGUGGCAAUCACCGUGAAGUGAUCAAACCAAUGGUACACAUCAUCCCUGGCAUUCAUGGCACGUGGUACAACUCCUCUUGCUCUUGGUGCCAAUCCUCGCAUUUGGCCGGAAUUCUUUCGCGGGAAUCCUACCAUUAACUAAGUUUAGUUAUUCAAUUGCAAUCGCAUAGCAUCAAACAAUUGUAUUAACUGCUGCUCCAAAGUCAAAGGAGCAGGAGAUUGCUAAUCUGCCAUGAAAAUGAAUGAAAUGGAAGAGCAAAAGAAGAGAAAUGGAAAAAAGCUAGAAAGAAAGGGAGAUCUAAACAAUGCAAAAAGCUAGAUUUAAACCAAAAUCUUAAAAGGAAAGAACAAAAGAAAGGAAAUGGAAAAAGCUAAAUCCAAAGGAUGCAAAAGCUAAAUCUAAACCAAAAUCCCAAAUCCAAGCACUCCUCAGAGACAAUUAAAAGUGCCCCUUAACACCACCAAUGUGAGUGCAUGGAAUUAUAGAAAGGGAAUAUUGAAAAUGUGCAUAUCAAUUAACCUAAAAACCUUCACUUAUAUAUAAGAACAAAUGGUCCAGAUUGAAACCAAUCCGACAGUUACCAAAAUCCCAUUAUACUAAUAUUAAAAUCUGACAUAAUAGCCAUACACUUGGACCUCACAUUUCUUUUUCCUUUUUUUUUGGUUUGUUUCACAAGAGGUGGUGGCAGCAAUGACUCACACAUUCGAGUGGGACCAAAGCCUUGUUGUACCUCUGGAGUGCUGGGUUCAAAGGAGCUCACUCAUUUAUCAGUACAGGCCUUGCGAGGUUUCAUACUUGAUGGACUUUAAGGAUGCAAGCUUGUAGAUUGGCCGUCUGAUCUACAUUGCAGCAUGACCAUGUCGAGCUCCAGAUGCUGUGCUCGACAAGCAAGUCGAUCGUGGAGCACGCACAGUCAGUGACAGUGGGAAGCAGCGACGAGUGCCAGCUCUACUGUGCCGCCCCUGCCGUUUUCGGCAAGGAUUUUAGCGGCCAUUUCGUGCAGCUGUGCAGGAACGUCCAGUGGGAGCCGGAUGGGGUCCCUUGCUCGCAAUCUGAGCUUGGAGAAAUAAGGGAGCUGGCAUGGAGAGGGCUGAUUCUAGUCUUCAACUUCCAGCACAGAGUUCUGGAGCAUUACUUUGAUGAUGGCCAUAAACAAAUGAGUAUUGUGCUGUUCGGUGCCAUGGUCGUCUACAUUGUUCACAUAUGCACACUCUUUUCGUUGGAAUGUGUUUCUGAUUUGUUUCCUUUUUUCUUGUGUGUUGUUUUGCACAGCUGAUAUUUGAGGAUCACUUGGCUCUAGACAUUGAUCACAAAGCGUCACAAGAAUGUGAGUGACAUGAAUUAUCUAUCUUUGCUUUGUGGAAGUAUUUACUAAAGCUGUUUAUGUAGGGAUGGUGGCUCUAAAUAGUCACCCAAACCUUGAUACAAUCUGGAGCACAAGAGGCAUUUUUAUUGCAUCAGAUGCGACUAAGAAGAGAUGUCUAACUCUUGAGAAGUUGAUAAACUCUCCCAAAAUACAGGGGGCCCUGGGAGCCAGCGCUGAUGAAAUAGGUGAUGCUAUGGUCAAGGCGAUUGCAGUUGGUGGUACAUAUUAUGAUUGGGAACACAAAGAGUUGUGGUUUAAAAUGGCAAAAAUAUUUAGAUGGAGUUAUGAGAGGCUCACUGCAUAUAUUAUAACAUAUGCAAUUU
rnacentral:lncRNA from 1 species